GGCAAUCUGCCCUGCACUCUGGGACAAGCCCUGGAAACGGGGUCUAAUACCGGAUAUGACUGUCCAUCGCAUGGUGGAUGGUGUAAAGCUCCGGCGGUGCAGGAUGAGCCCGCGGCCUAUCAGCUUGUUGGUGAGGUAGUGGCUCACCAAGGCGACGACGGGUAGCCGGCCUGAGAGGGCGACCGGCCACACUGGGACUGAGACACGGCCCAGACUCCUACGGGAGGCAGCAGUGGGGAAUAUUGCACAAUGGGCGAAAGCCUGAUGCAGCGACGCCGCGUGAGGGAUGACGGCCUUCGGGUUGUAAACCUCUUUCAGCAGGGAAGAAGCGAAAGUGACGGUACCUGCAGAAGAAGCGCCGGCUAACUACGUGCCAGCAGCCGCGGUAAUACGUAGGGCGCAAGCGUUGUCCGGAAUUAUUGGGCGUAAAGAGCUCGUAGGCGGCUUGUCACGUCGGUUGUGAAAGCCCGGGGCUUAACCCCGGGUCUGCAGUCGAUACGGGCAGGCUAGAGUUCGGUAGGGGAGAUCGGAAUUCCUGGUG
rnacentral:rRNA from 1 species